GAUGAACGCUAGCGGCAGGCUUAACACAUGCAAGUCGAGGGGCAGCAUACCCAGCAAUGGGUGAUGGCGACCGGCGGAAGGGUGCGUAACGCGUGAGCAACAUGCCCAUAUCAGUGGGAUAAUCCAGGGAAACUUGGUCUAAUACCACAUAGUAUCUUUUAGAGACAUCUUUAAAAGAUUAAAGAUUUAUCGGAUAUGGAUUGGCUCGCGUGACAUUAGCUAGAUGGUAGGGUAACGGCCUACCAUGGCAAUGAUGUCUAGGGGUUCUGAGAGGAAGGUCCCCCACACUGGAACUGAGACACGGUCCAGACUCCUACGGGAGGCAGCAGUGAGGAAUAUUGGACAAUGGAUGGAAAUCUGAUCCAGCCAUGCCGCGUGCAGGAAGAAGGUCCUAUGGAUUGUAAACUGCUUUUGUACGGGAGCAAUAAGGGCUAUGCGUAGUUCGAUGAGAGUACCGUACGAAUAAGGAUCGGCUAAC
rnacentral:rRNA from 1 species